GGGCCUGCAUGAAGGGCUGAAUGAGGGGGGCUUCGUCCCCUCCGUCUGGCUCGAGAAGGGCUUUCAGAUGUUCAUAUCACCAGCAGCCAGUGAUGCCCGGGGAGGAGCCCCUAGAGGCGGUGCGGACUGCUGCAACCAGGGUGGCUGGGUCAAUAGUAGGAGAG
rnacentral:rRNA from 14 species